UUCACACUUUAUAAGUUCUCUCAAGGAAGAAGCUAGGGUUCUUUACCUUUAAGCCUCAGUUCAAGUUCUCAAGUCAGUCUUUUCCUACCAGAUUCCAACGCUCAUUCUCAGACUUGUGGCUAGUUAGAUUGUAGCAAUUCCCAGUCAGCAGUUGGAUCAAGUACUAGCUACCGAUAUUGAUUUGAGCCAAUUAUGGUCGUGAUUAGAGGCGAGGAUGAGCACAUUGCAUCUUGGAUUUACCUGUUUCCCUCUGUAUAUACAUUUUACCUGUCUUUUGGUUUUUGAGACAACUUUGUUUCUAUG